rnacentral:rRNA from 1 species
AAACUAACUAGGAUUCCCUUAGUAACGGCGAGUGAACCGGGAUGAGCUCAAAUUUGAAAUCUGGCGUCUUUCAGGCGUCCGAGUUGUAAUCUAUAGAGGCGUUUUCCGCGCCGGACCGCGUCCAAGUCUCUUGGAAUAGAGUAUCAAAGAGGGUGACAAUCCCGUACUUGACGCGACAACCGGUGCUCUGUGAUACGUUCUCAAUGAGUCGAGUUGUUUGGGAAUGCAGCUCUAAAUGGGUGGUAAAUUCCAUCUAAGGCUAAAUAUUGGCGAGAGACCGAUAGCGAACAAGUACCGUGAGGGAAAGAUGAAAAGCACUUUGGAAAGAGAGUUAAACAGCACGUGAAAUUGUUAAAAGGGAAACGAUUGAAGUCAGUCGUGUGGGAAGUAUUCAGCCGUCUCUGGCGGUGUAUUUGCUUCUCACGGGUCAACAUCAGUUUGAUCCGGUAGAAAAAGGCGGGAAGAAGGUGGCACCCUCGGGUGUGUUAUAGCUUCCUGUCAUAUGUGCCGGACCAGACUGAGGAACGCAGCUUGCAGCAAUGCCGGGGUUCGCCCACGUACAAGCUUAGGAUGUUGACA